rnacentral:rRNA from 1 species
UGGGGAAUUUUGGGCAAUGGGCGAAAGCCUGACCCAGCAACGCCGCGUGAAGGAUGAAGUAUUUCGGUAUGUAAACUUCGAAAGAAUAGGAAGAAUAAAUGACGGUACUAUUUAUAAGGUCCGGCUAACUACGUGCCAGCAGCCGCGGUAAUACGUAGGGACCAAGCGUUGUUCGGAUUUACUGGGCGUAAAGCGUGCGCAGGCGGCGACAUAAGACAGAUGUGAAAUCCCCGGGCUCAACCUGGGAACUGCGUUUGUGACUGUGUUGCUAGAGUGUAGCAGAGGGGGGUGGAAUUCCACGUGUAGCAGUGAAAUGCGUAGAGAUGUGGAGGAACACCGAUGGCGAAGGCAGCCCCCUGGGUUAACACUGACGCUCAUGCACGAAAGCGUGGGGAGCAAACAGGAUUAGAUACCCUUGUAGUCCCUGAGCGGGCUGGCAAGGCGCAU